CCUAAUUGAACACUUUCUUCCUCACCCUUGUGCACCCACUGUCGCUCAUUUUCCCUCUCCCACACCGCUGCUACUGCCGCUACAACACUUCGCCGCAGACUUCGAAGCAAUCCGCCGUCGUCGUCGCCGUCUCGACCGACGACAUCAGCCAUUAUUCAGCCAAAUCCGACGGCACAGCCAUCGCCCAAUCCCCCCUAUUCCGCUCCUCAUCCCUCUUCCACACCAGCGCCGCCGCUUCCUACUCCACAGCAAUCUGCCGCCACCGUCGCAGCCGACAAAUCAACAACUGUUGAGACAAAGUCGAGCCACCACCCAAGUCCCUCUUCUCUCACUAUUCCUCCCUCUUCCAAAUCGCCGCCACCGCCACUGCACUUAGCAGUCGACACUGGUACAAUCUGCCAUCCAUU
rnacentral:lncRNA from 1 species